rnacentral:misc_RNA from 1 species
AACGCACCUUGCGCCCUCUGGUAUUCCGGAGGGCAUGCCUGUUUGAGUGUCUUGAUAUCAUCAAACCCCUCGGGUUCGCGCCCGUUGCGGUUUGGAGUUGGGGGCUUGCUGCCGAGAGGCGGCUCCCCUUAAAAUCAUCGGUUUGGCCCGCAUCAUGCGGCUUGCACCUUUGGCGUUGUAUUUUCCUCGCCUUUGGAUCGGUCUUGCUUGCUUCCGCGCCUCACUUCGACUUGCCCUUUGGGUGGCGGUCACUUCUUGACAAUCUGGCCUCAAAUCAGGUAGGACUACCCGCUGAACUUAA